UAUAAGUGCAGUUGUGGUUUUCCGUGUCCAACGUUUAACCAUCCGUCUUAUUUAAAAAAAUAUAUAAUUAGUAUUUUUAUCGUUAUUAGAUAAUAAAACAUAAAUUAUUUUUAAUUUUUUUAAUAAAAUUUUUAAAUAAGACGGACAGUCAAAAGUUGAACACAAAAAUCUAUAACCGCAUUUAUA
rfam:Oryza glaberrima chromosome 3 Oglab03_0072_3, whole genome shotgun sequence.